CAACCUCAACUCAUAUGGGACUACCCCCUGAAUUUAAGCAUAUUAAUUAGGGGAGGAAAAGAAACUAACAAGGAUUUUCUUAGUAGCGGCGAGCGAAAAGAAAUCAGUUCAGCACUAAGUCACUUUGUCUAUAUGGCAAAUGUGAGAUGCAGUGUAUGGAGCGUCAAUAUUCUAGUAUGAGAAAUUAACGAUUUAAGUCCUUCUUAAAUGACAUUUACCCAUAGAGGGUGCCAGGCCCGUAUAACGUUAAUGAUUACUAGAUGAUGUUUCCAAAGAGUCGUGUUGCUUGAUAGUGCAGCACUAAGUGGGUGGUAAACUCCAUCUAAAACUAAAUAUAACCAUGAGACCGAUAGUAAACAAGUACCGUGAGGGAAAGUUGA
rnacentral:ncRNA from 1 species